GGUGAUGUAGCUCAGUUGGUAGAGCACAGGACUGAAAAUCCUGGUGUCGACAGUUCGAUUCUGUCCAUCACCA
rnacentral:tRNA from 1 species